rnacentral:rRNA from 1 species
CCUACGGGCGGCAGCAGUGAGGAAUAUUGGUCAAUGGACGAGAGUCUGAACCAGCCAAGUAGCGUGAAGGAUGACUGCCCUAUGGGUUGUAAACUUCUUUUAUAAAGGGAUAAAACGAGGCACGUGUGCCCUUUUGCAUGUACUUUAUGAAUAAGGAUCGGCUAACUCCGUGCCAGCAGCCGCGGUAAUACGGAGGAUCCGAGCGUUAUCCGGCUUUAUUGGGUUUAAAGGUAGCGUAGAUGGGUUGUUAAGUCAGUUGUGAAAGUUUGCGGCUCAACCGGAAAAUUGCAAUUGAUACUGGCAGUCUUGAGUACAGUUGAGGUAGGCGGAAUUCGUGGUGUAGCGGUGAAAUGCUUAGAUAUCACGAAGAACCCCGAUUGCGAAGGCAGCUUACUAAACUGUGACUGACAUUGAUGCUCGAAAGUGUGGGUAUCAAACAGGAGUAGAUACCCGAGUAGUC